rnacentral:rRNA from 1 species
UGGGGAAUUUUGGACAAUGGGGGAAACCCUGAUCCAGCCAUCCCGCGUGUGCGAUGAAGGCCUUCGGGUUGUAAAGCACUUUUGGCAGGAAAGAAACGUCGCGGGUUAAUACCCCGCGAAACUGACGGUACCUGCAGAAUAAGCACCGGCUAACUACGUGCCAGCAGCCGCGGUAAUACGUAGGGUGCAAGCGUUAAUCGGAAUUACUGGGCGUAAAGCGUGCGCAGGCGGUUCGGAAAGAAAGAUGUGAAAUCCCAGAGCUUAACUUUGGAACUGUAUUUUUAACUACCGGGCUAGAGUGUGUCAGAGGGAGGUGGAAUUCCGCGUGUAGCAGUGAAAUGCGUAGAUAUGCGGACGAACACCGAUGGCGAAGGCAGCCUCCUGGGAUAACACUGACGCUCAUGCACGAAAGCGUGGGGAGCAAACAGGAUUAGAUACCCUGGUAGUCCACGCCCUAAACGAUGUCAACUAGCUGUUGGGGGCCUUCGGGCCUUGGUAGCGCAGCUAACGCGUGAAGUUGACCGCCUGGGGAGUACGGUCGCAAGACUAAAAACUUAAAUGAAUUGAAC